CUAUAACUCAUCCUGUCCACCUCUACAAGAAAGAAAAAGAGAGAAGACUCAAGAAGAAACCAACCCCAGGAAAAUGACCCCAAGACUUCAACAUGGAUUGGGACCUUGUAAAGAAAAAUUUGAUUCCUUCUCCAUAAAGUUUCCAGAUGUUCAGCAUGCCAUGCAGGAUUUUAACAUCUUGUCCACAGCAACUUUCUGAGCUGGCAGCCCCCCAUCAGUUCCGCUACACCCCCUCCGCAGCCUCCUCAACACCACAAACCAGCUGAUUGCCGCGGGCAGGAGGCAGGGGAGGGAGCGGGGAAGCUGCGUGCCGCGUCUUGGCUCCUCCCCCCAGCAUCCUGAAUGCCACAAACCAGCUGAUUGCCCCAGCAAAGUCAGUGCCCGUGCUUGCAAGAACAGCAAAAGGAGCAGCCAGACAAUCCACACCCUCUUCCACUCUGACUCCACCACCUCAACCAAGCUUCAUA